rnacentral:rRNA from 1 species
GAAGGAGUAAAAACUUCUUACGGAGAUAAAUUAAUUUUGGAAAGAAUAGUCUCUGGCGGUACCUCACCUAACUAGAGGGGCAUGCCCUGUAUAUCGAAUCUGCACGAAUUACCCUUCACACCCUGGAAUAACCCACUUUGCACACCACUGUCUGAAAGAAGUCGUGGACUUCUUACCCCCUCAGAAGGGAGUAAGGCAAGCACACGUGUAGGCUAUGGGUGUUGAAAGUGUGUGCUCCAAUCAGAAGGAUUCAUUUACCUUUUUAAAUGAGGUAAGGGGAGAGAAUUUAGAAGUAAAUGGGGUUUACAAGCCCCUAUUGAAUGGGGCUCUGAGGUACGU